GCGGAUUCUUAACCACUGUGCCACCAGGGAAGUCCCCACACUUUUAAUUUUAUGACGCAUAGUUAGCUCCAAGGCUGGCAGGAUAAUCACCCAGAUAUGGUGGGCUAGUGUGGGGGAAUGCUCCAACAGUAAUGCUUUUACUGCAAACACAUCAGAAGAAGGUUCUGCCCUGAGAAGAGGCAUCACUGCCAAGUCACGAUGGGAACCCUAAGUUCAAGAAGCCCAAGCGAGAGGCAAGGAUAACACUAAGAGCAAAGGCUUGGAGCCCGCCAGUCAGCUCUGCCACCUCCUCGCUGACACUGGGCAAGAAGCUUCUCUACUCUGAGCCUCAGCUUCAUCUUAGAGUUGCUUUGGGGAUCAAAUGAGGUAAUGCGUGUAGAAUGCUUAGCACAGUGCCUGGUACAUCUUAAGUUCUCAUCAACUGAUGGCUUGAAAGAAAAACAAAAAAUUAAACAAAAAACCCUAACCCUACCGUUUUGUUCCUGUACUUGGGUAACCAACCCUAAAGAACGGUACUUGUCACUCCCAAGAAAUACAGGGAACCAUGUGAACAUUUCCUUUUGGAGAACUGUAGUCCCUUUCUUUCCUGUUUGACUUUAGCAGUGGGGGGAAGAUGAAAGAAUUGAGAGACACACAGCCUAAUUACCACUGACAUUUUUGACAAACAAUGACCCCAUCAGGCUCACUCUUCUAAAAUAAUGUCACAAAAAACAAUGGGAAGUCACCCACAUUCCUAUUCAGUUUAAACACUUCUGAAGCCAUGUUAUACAGUGUAAAAAUUUAAAUCCAUUUUUUUCUCUCUCCCAUUAUAAAAUAAUACAAAUGCUCCUAAACACUUGGCAGUUUGGAAAUAUAUGAAGAAUGGGAAGAACACCCAACCACCUAUAAUCUCACUACCUAAGGGCAACUAAAUGGGUUUGCAUGUCUUUCUAACUCAUUUGUACGAGCUCUAUAUGCAAUAAAGAUAUUAAUCAUCUAUUUACUUCAAAUAUUUGCUACAUGAAUUAAAAAAUGACUUACAGGGCUUCCCUGGUGGCGCAGUGGUUAAGCGUCCACCUGCCAAUGCAGGGGACACGGGUUCAAGCUCUGGUCCGGGAAGAUCCCACAUGCCGCAGAGCAACUAGGCCCGUGCACCACAACUACUGAGCCUGCACUCUAGAGCCCACGAGCCACAACUACUGAGCCUGCAUGCCACAACUGAGCCCGUGUGCCACAACUACUGAAGCCAGAGUGCCUAGAGCCUGUGCUCUGCAACAAGAGAAGACACUGCAAUGAGAAGCCCACACACUGCAAUGAAGAGUAGCCCCCGCUCUCUGCAACUAGAGAAAGCCCGCACACAACAACGAAGAUCCAACACUGCCAAAAAUGAAUAAAUAAAUAAAUUUAAAAAAACACAAAAAAUGAUUUAUAACAUUUUCUUUUGAUAAUUAUGAUUUUAAUAGUCCUCCCAGAGAUAAAACUUGGCUUUCACUACAGUUAUCUAUUCAAGCAGCCUACCUGAUAAUUUGCACCAGAAUCUUCUUUUUUGGUUUUCAGUGGUACCUUUGUGCCUGUAUUUUAAAAAAAUGUCAAAACUUCAGCUGUAAAGACCAUACAGUAUUGGAGAAAAACUUUGGGGGGAGAGUGAAAAGUCUGGGAUUCCAGAUCAGUCUCUUCAUGUACUGGCUGUAUAACUUUGCCCAGUACUACCCUCUCCGGAUUUGUUUCCUUUACUGUAAGGUGAAGGAGGAUACACAUUAGUUAUAUUCUAUAGGCCAUUUCUGUUUGAAAGUCAGUGAUUUUUUUUUCUGCCAUUUCUAAUAUGAAGCCACCACUAACUACCUAAAACACCAAAUCCAGCUCUUUGAGAGACUGCCACAACAAUGACUAUCCCAAUAAUGAUGUUGACCAUUUAAAAAUCAUUUUUCCUUCUACCUUAAAAAAUAUGGCAAUAUGGAUUAUUAUGCAACUUAAGAAUUAACCUAUUGUCUGGUUUAUUUGAAUUAGGAUAGGACAUAAUAAAAAACCAUAUUCUCUGUACUCACUUAAAACAUUUGUACCAGAGGUGGGAUGAUCCUCAAUGAGUUCCACGAAGUUAAGGGGGAAGAUCCCAGAUCUCUCUCGAAGUUCUCCUCUUGCCCACUCGUCAUUCACAUACUCUUUAAGAAUAAUAAUUUCUCCCUCUGAGAAACUUAACUCAUCCUUCUGGUCUCCAAUAUACUCAAAUCGAGCAACACAUCUUGGGCCUCUGAAGAAAGAAGACCACAUUUGUGGGUUAAACUAGAGAGUACUAACUUUCAGAAUGCUUUAAAACCUUCAUUUAGUCUUUCAAUAAAUAUUUAUUCUGUGUUUACUUUGGAACAAGGUAUACUAGGCAUAGUUUAAGAUUUUCCAUGAAAAAGAAUAAGGUAUAUUUCUAAAUGAUAGUCCUUACUUUUUAGAUAUGAACCUAUUCACUCAGAAAGGCUAAAGUCAAGGUCACAAGUACAGGCAGAAUCCCAGAUAAGCAGCUGGUGGUUGGUUAAUGUUGCACAUCUUUUGAUCACCUUUUCUUCAUGACAGAAUCUCCCUAGUCUCUUUGUCUUUGUAUCCUUGGGCCACAGUAAUCCAGGGCCAAGUCUGAACCCUCUCAGUCAUAAAUGCACUGAGUUUAGGAGUGUUAACCCUGAGAAUCUCAGGGCAAGACAUCAAACUUCCAUGGCAGAAAUGCAAUGGGCACCAGCUGGGCAGGGUAGAUGCUCAAUGUAUGCUGAAUCAGUGAGUUGUGUAUAUAGAUGAAUGGCCUUCAAAACUAGAAGGUUCGAAGAAAACAGAAACUCGGCUUAUUAUCUUAUAACAUUUAAUCUUAUAUCUUACACUGUUGUUUUAAAAAUGAUUUUUGUAUCUCCUUUAAAAAGGCUUCAUUUCUGAGAAUUAGAAUGAUCUACAAUUUUGACUGAAAAUAAGAUAAAAACAGAGAUGAAAUUGUGUCCCUAGAAGACAUGACUGAUUCCCAAACUUUUGAUUUGAGGCUUUGGAAAGGAAGUUUCAACAGCUAUGACUAAGGAGAUGCAAUUGCCUGAAGAGAAUAGGUGGGUACUUGCUCCAAUCAAAGUCUGAUUUAAGUCAGGUCAAUGGAUCAACAGCCAUGAAAGCCCACUUUAAAUUCAACCUGCUGACACAGUAAACACUGCUUAAAAAUAGGAGAAAAACUGAACCUGAAACAGAAUUAAACUAUUGUGGCAUCAGAAGUUUUCUUAUUUGUGAUAACCUUUGCAUUUAUUUUCUGAAGUCCUCAGGGAGCAUAUCUUAUGUCUGACCGAUUCAAAGACAGGUUUACAGUCUUCAGCAGGUACUGAAUUCUAUUAAUUUGCCCAUUUAACUGGAAUAUAAAGUUGCAUUGUGGCAAUGUUUUAAAUCACAAAGGAGUUACAGUGAUGCAGAAAAGGGUACAUAAAUUCACGGAAAGGUCUUCAAACAUAAAGAAGACCCCUCCAAAUUAACUCUUCCUUUACUUUCUUCUAGUUCCUCUCAAAAACAAAACAAUACAAAAUGCCUAGCAGUUUUUGUAGGGUUCAUAUUUCUGUUAGGUUUACUUUUUUGUUCAUUAAAAAAAUAUAUAUUUAUUUA